rnacentral:misc_RNA from 1 species
UUAAAGUCAUUAGACUGGUUCGGACAUAAGUUCAAACAAGUGGUUCGGUUGGGGCUUCGGGCAGACUAACCAGCCAGCGGCGAACCGCAGGUGCGCUGCCUAAGCAAAGGGGACAUUUCACGGAGGGUUGACGCGUGGGCCCGGCCGGCCAUUCCCUCCCGUCUCAUAUUCAAUUGUCUCGGAUUCGAUAUUGUACGGACUGUACGCUAGCUCCGGUUUACAGCACCACACGCACCCGCAACUCGAAGUUGCAGGCGGUGGGCCGGAAGUGCGCGACGGGAGUUCCUGGCUGCUCGUGCUUUCGCAGUCAGCUUUUGAAAGCCAAACUUUUUAAUGAUCCUUCCGCAGGUUCACCUACGGAAA